AUGAACGCUGGCGGCGUGCCUAAUACAUGCCCGUCGAGCGAACAGAUGAGGAGCUUGCUCCUCUGACGUUAGCGGCGGACGGGUGAGUAACACGUGGAUAACCUACCUAUAAGACUGGGAUAACUUCGGGAAACCGGAGCUAAUACCGGAUAAUAUAUUGAACCGCAUGGUUCAAUAGUGAAAGACGGUUUUGCUGUCACUUAUAGAUGGAUCCGCGCCGCAUUAGCUAGUUGGUAAGGUAACGGCUUACCAAGGCAACGAUGCGUAGCCGACCUGAGAGGGUGAUCGGCCACACUGGAACUGAGACACGGUCCAGACUCCUACGGGAGGCAGCAGUAGGGAAUCUUCCGCAAUGGGCGAAAGCUUGACGGAGCAACGCCGCGUGAGUGAUGAAGGUCUUCGGAUCGUAAAACUCUGUUAUUAGGGAAGAACAAAUGUGUAAGUAACUAUGCACGUCUUGACGGUACCUAAUCAGAAAGCCACGGCUAACUACGUG
rnacentral:rRNA from 1 species